AGCUGAAAUAAUUAAUGCGCAGUUUAAUGGGCACUCUACCUUCUUAUUGGCACAUUUUGUAGUGCGCUGGAUGUACGGGGAUUCCGCUGUCGUAGUUGUCAAUGCCGAGUCUCCUUGCUGCAGGGGAGGGAGCAGGUGUCUGGGGAACAUCAGCACAAAGUGCAGAGCAAGACAGGACAAACAGCGAUGCAAUAAGGGACCAUUCAGGAAGUCACAGCGAACAGAGGAAGAGUCAGGCCAAGUGGAAGAGGCUUUGUGCAGCAGUUGCUGACCGGAUCCUGGAAAUUCCACAGUGCUUCAACGAUCAACAUGGGAAAUCAACAUGAGACUCUUAAACUCCACUGGAAAUGGCAUGCGAGGAAGUGAAAGGGAUCAUGGGAAAUUUGGUGGCAAACGUACAUGUUUCCCUACAAUAGAACUUUGUCGACUUGGUUGAAAUAUCCCGGUGGUUAUUUUCAGCCCUUGACAUGGGA